UGUAAUCCCUGUUCCUCCGAGCAGGAGGUGUUCCUCCUAGCAGGAGGUGUUGUGUGGUAGUAGAUGUAAUCCUUGUUCCUCCUAGCAGGAGGUGUUGUGUGGUAGUAGAUGUAAUCCUUGUUCCUCAGCAGGAGGUGUUGUGUGGUAGUAGAUGUAAUCCUUGUUCCUCCUAUCAGGAGGUGUUGUGUGGUAGUAGAUGUAAUCCUUGUUCCUCCUAUCAGGAGGUGUUGUGUGGUAGUAGAUGUAAUCCUUGUUCCUCCUAUCAGGAGGUGUUGUGUGGUAGUAGAUGUAAUCCUUGUUCCUCAGCAGGAGGUGUUGUGUGGUAGUAGAUGUAAUCCUUGUUCCUCCUAUCAGGAGGUGUUGUGUGGUAGUAGAUGUAAUCCUUGUUCCUCCUAUCAGGAGGUGUUGUGUGGUAGUAGAUGUAAUCCUUGUUCCUCCUAGCAGGAGGUGUUGUGUGGUAGUAGAUGUAAUCCUUGUUCCUCAGCAGGAGGUGUUGUGUGGUAGUAGAUGUAAUCCUUGUUCCUCAGCAGGAGGUGUUGUGUGGUAGUAGAUGUAAUCCUUGUUCCUCAGCAGGAGGUGUUGUGUGGUAGUAGAUGUAAUCCUUGUUCCUCAGCAGGAGGUGUUGUGUGGUAGUAGAUGUAAUCCUUGUUCCUCCUAUCAGGAGGUGUUGUGUGGUAGUAGAUGUAAUCCUUGUUCCUCCUAUCAGGAGGUGUUGUGUGGUAGUAGAUGUAAUCCUUGUUCCUCAGCAGGAGGUGUUGUGUGGUAGUAGAUGUAAUCCUUGUUCCUCCUAUCAGGAGGUGUUGUGUGGUAGUAGAUGUAAUCCUUGUUCCUCCUAUCAGGAGGUGUUGUGUGGUAGUAGAUGUAAUCCUUGUUCCUCAGCAGGAGGUGUUGUGUGGUAGUAGAUGUAAUCCUUGUUCCUCAACAGGAGGUGUUGUGUGGUAGUAGAUGUAAUCCUUGUUCCUCAGCAGGAGGUGUUGUGUGGUAGUAGAUGUAAUCCUUGUUCCUCAGCAGGAGGUGUUGUGUGGUAGUAGAUGUAAUCCUUGUUCCUCCUAUCAGGAGGUGUUGUGUGGUAGUAGAUGUAAUCCUUGUUCCUCCUAUCAGGAGGUGUUGUGUGGUAGUAGAUGUAAUCCUUGUUCCUCCUAGCAGGAGGUGUUGUGUGGUAGUAGAUGUAAUCCUUGUUCCUCAGCAGGAGGUGUUGUGUGGUAGUAGAUGUAAUCCUUGUUCCUCAGCAGGAGGUGUUGUGUGGUAGUAGAUGUAAUCCUUGUUCCUCAGCAGGAGGUGUUGUGUGGUAGUAGAUGUAAUCCUUGUUCCUCCUAUCAGGAGGUGUUGUGUGGUAGUAGAUGUAAUCCUUGUUCCUCCUAUCAGGAGGUGUUGUGUGGUAGUAGAUGUAAUCCUUGUUCCUCCUAGCAGGAGGUGUUGUGUGGUAGUAGAUGUAAUCCUUGUUCCUCAGCAGGAGGUGUUGUGUGGUAGUAGAUGUAAUCCUUGUUCCUCAGCAGGAGGUGUUGUGUGGUAGUAGAUGUAAUCCUUGUUCCUCAGCAGGAGGUGUUGUGUGGUAGUAGAUGUAAUCCUUGUUCCUCCUAGCAGGAGGUGUUGUGUGGUAGUAGAUGUAAUCCUUGUUCCUCAGCAGGAGGUGUUGUGUGGUAGUAGAUGUAAUCCUUGUUCCUCAGCAGGAGGUGUUGUGUGGUAGUAGAUGUAAUCCUUGUUCCUCAGCAGGAGGUGUUGUGUGGUAGUAGAUGUAAUCCUUGUUCCUCCUAGCAGGAGGUGUUGUGUGGUAGUAGAUGUAAUCCUUGUUCCUCAGCAGGAGGUGUUGUGUGGUAGUAGAUGUAAUCCUUGUUCCUCAGCAGGAGGUGUUGUGUGGUAGUAGAUGUAAUCCUUGUUCCUCCUAGCAGGAGGUGUUGUGUGGUAGUAGAUGUAAUCCUUGUUCCUCAGCAGGAGGUGUUGUGUGGUAGUAGAUGUAAUCCUUGUUCCUCAGCAGGAGGUGUUGUGUGGUAGUAGAUGUAAUCCUUGUUCCUCCUAGCAGGAGGUGUUGUGUGGUAGUAGAUGUAAUCCUUGUUCCUCAGCAGGAGGUGU